GAUGAACGCUGGCGGCGUGCCUAAUACAUGCGAGUCGAGCGAACAGACGAGAGUGCUUGCACUCUCUGACGUUAGCGGCGGACGGGUGAGUAACACGUGGGUAACCUACCUAUAAGACUGGGAUAACUUCGGGACACCGGAGCUAAUACCGGAUAAUAUUUAGCUUCGCAUGAAGCAAUAGUGAAAGACGGUUCUGCUGUCACUUAUAGAUGGACCCGCGGUGUAUUAGCUAGUUGAUGAGGUAACGGCUCACCAAGGCAACGAUACAUAGCCGACCUGAGAGGGUGAUCGGCCACACUGGGACUGAGACACGGCCCAGACUCCUACGGGAGGCAGCAGUAGGGAAUCUUCCGCAAUGGACGAAAGUCUGACGGAGCAAUGCCGCGUGAGUGAAGAAGGUUUUCGGAUCGUAAAACUCUGUUGUAAGGGAAGAACAAGUACGUUAGUAACUGAACGUACCUUGACGGUACCUUAUCAGAAAGCCACGGCUAACUACGUG
rnacentral:rRNA from 1 species